rnacentral:tRNA from 1 species
GCGGAUAUAAUCAAAUGGUAAAAUUUAUUUUCGCCAAGGAGAAGAUGCGGUUUUGAUUCCAGUUAUCCGC